rnacentral:rRNA from 1 species
UACGGAGGGUGCAAGCGUUAAUCGGAAUUACUGGGCGUAAAGCGUGCGCAGGCGGUUUUGUAAGUCUGUCGUGAAAUCCCCGGGCUCAACCUGGGAAUGGCAAUGGAUACUGGCAAGCUAGAGUGCGGUAGAGGGUAGUGGAAUUCCCGGUGUAGCGGUGAAAUGCGUAGAGAUCGGGAGGAACACCAGUGGCGAAGGCGGCUACCUGGCCAG